GCAGCUCUGGAGGUCAGGCUGGAUAUCCAGGGACUCCAUCCCACGAUCAGUACAGAACAUAGACCACCACCAUGACGGGGGUUCUGAUCUGGGUUUUCCUUGUCGUUGUUUUAAAAGGUGUCCAGUGUGAGGUGCAGCUGGUGGAGUCUGGGGAAGGCUUGGUGCAGCCUGGAGGGUCCCUGAGACUCUCCUGUGCAGCCUCCGGAUUCACCUUCAGUGACUAUGGCAUGCACUGGAUCCGACAGCCUACAGGGAAGAGGCCUGAGUGGCUCUCAUACAUCAGUAGUAGUGGUAGUAGCAUAAACUACGCAGACUCUGUGAAGGGCCGCUUCACCAUCUCCAGAGACAACAGCAAGAACACACUUUACCUGCAGAUGAACAGCCUGAGAGAGGAGGACACGGCCCUCUAUUACUGUGCUAGAGACACAGUGCAGGAAAUCCAGUGUGGGCCCAGACAGGAACCUCCCUGCAGGGCCGCUCAGGACCAGCAGGGGGCGUGCAUCACACUGAAUUCAAGAGACCAAUGUGACCUCAUUUGA